GGCACGUCGAACGAAAAGCCACCCAGCCUCGCCUACUCACUAAACCUCCUCUGUACCUUUAACGACCGUAUCGGGGGAGGAUCCUGAAACGUUGACGGAACAACACAUCACGAACCCUCCCCCUGGUCUUGGCCCCAAAGGGCAACAUACUCGCUCGUCACUUUUUAGUAGCCACAGCAUGCUCACUUUCACGUCUGAUCAAUCAUUCGAUAACACAUACACACCCGCCAUAACAAGGGGGAGAAUCAGUAGAGUGAGGAACAAGAAAGAACACACCCGUCAAUGAGGGGAAUAACCCACCCAAAUCGGGCCUAAUUCGAGUUGUGUUACAUGAAAAUACACGUCUUCUUAGAAAGGUAUUUAGAAACACACCCUCAAGCUGUUAUUUAGAGUAAGAAGACAAUUCCCUAUUCACGAACCAUCAAGUGUGUUCGUAAAACACAAUGUUACUAGGGAACACGAAUCAUUGAAAGAACUGAGACCGCGAAAAUCAGAUCGACAGUUCUGAACUCGGCAAGGCAUAUACACAUGUAAUUUAUCCAAUUCCAGUUUUGGAUAGCCCUACAGUCUGCCUCCCUUCUUAAUUCCUUCCUCGCACGAAGAGAGAGAGUUGCGGUCUCCGCUCCUCCCUCUCUCUCCCUCCAAAACAACUACGCAAGUCGCUCCGCUCUAAUCCCGGCUAACAGUGUAGACCCUAUGUUUAGGUUAACUUGAAUAGUACUCAUUUUAGGUGCUCGAUAUCCAUGUCAUCCGCAUUAUUCAAAGUGUCGUUCCCGUGCGUGCUGUUAUCCCGACUGGUGGAUUUCCUCUGCGGUGAUUGAGAUCCAUUGAGCGAUCUAUCCUUCAGGUUAUGUAGAGGACCAGGUAACACCGGUGGACACUCCUCACUGCCAGCUCUAUGUCCGUCAGAUGAAACACGAGCCAGAUCUGUCUACAUUGCUGGGACAACGAUGUCUGGUGUGUCCCCUGGCGAAACACUUGUAACACCUAACCGGCCUUGCCGGAAGCAGGUCCACUCUGACAGCUCUAACCCAUCCCAGUUUCAUAUUGCCCACACUGGAGAGCUUCAACGCAGUCUGCAAAGGGCAUUGCACCCAAACAAUUCCAAGGCCAUCUCUGGCGAUCCUGAUUGGACCAACCCUGACGCUCUUCGGGGGACAGCAGCCAGACGCAGAAAUUUGCUGUCUGAUCUCGUCUGCCGUAACUGAAUCAUCAAAACCCUUCUCAUUUUUUUCAACCAAUACAUCAGCUUUGUCGGACGAGUCAGCACCUCUCAGUUCUAAAAAAACUCCACCCGAGAAGGCACGUCUGACCCUGGUGUCCAGGCCCUCGAGCUCCUGGUGAGGGAUACUCUCUCUAGCCUUCCUGAGAAUAGAGGCAUAUG